rnacentral:lncRNA from 1 species
CUCGAUUUGUGCAGCCCCAGUUGUGACCUUGUCGAAUCCCGAGAAAUCCCUGGAAGUUUGGUUGAAUGAAAGCGAAGUCUCGAGGUGUCGUUCAUUAGGUACUCGACGUAUGGGCUAAAUUGUAGCUCGACGUGGUGCUUAUAGUCUCCGAGCUGAAUUUAAUUUUGGGUGUGUUAAUCGAUCACGUGAUGCGGAGGACAAGAACCAGAUUUCUCUCAAGGUGAUGCUGGUGAAAGAACCUAAAGCUUGGAUAAUCUGAUAAUAUGAUCAAGUACCAGGAUGAGAGAUGCUCCCCAAGCGGACGUCAUCUAACAACACUGACUUAGUGUUAUCCCAGGUUAUAAUUUUGUUCUGUUGUGGAUGCUGCUAAGUGCCGGUGGGCUCGGCCUUCUUAUAUAGGUGUAUCCCAUCUUUAACUUCUUUAUUGAGGAUUGUCACUUAAGCUAGCAUGUAUUUUAAAACCUAUAAAUAUUUUAUACAUUUUAAAUUGUAAUUCUUUUGAAUCACUUUCUUUUGUAAUCACUCCGAUAAUUGUAUAAUGUAAACUUAUUGUAACAUGUAAUCAUUUUGCAAUAAAGAAUUUAUUUCCGCU